rnacentral:rRNA from 1 species
UACGUAGGGUGCAAGCGUUGUCCGGAAUUAUUGGGCGUAAAGAGCUCGUAGGCGGUCUGUCGCGUCGGAUGUGAAAACCCAGGGCUCAACCCUGGGCCUGCAUUCGAUACGGGCAGACUAGAGUUCGGUAGGGGAGACUGGAAUUCCUGGUGUAGCGGUGAAAUGCGCAGAUAUCAGGAGGAACACCGGUGGCGAAGGCGGGUCUCUGGACAUUUCCUGACGCUGAGGCACGAAAGCCAGGGGAGCAAACGGG